CCUACGGGUGGCAGCAGUGAGGAAUAUUGGUCAAUGGACGCAAGUCUGAACCAGCCAUGCCGCGUGCAGGAUGACGGCCCUAUGAGUUGUAAACUGCUUUUGUACGAGGGUAAACCCCGAUACGCGUAUCUCUCUGCAUGUACCCUACGAAUAAGGAUCGGCUAACUCCGUGCCAGCAGCCGCGGUAAUACGGAGGAUUCAAGCGUUAUCCGGAUUUAUUGGGUUUAAAGGGUGCGUAGGCGGUCGGUUAAGUUAGAGGUGAAAUCCCGGGGCUCAACCUCGGAAUUGCCUCUGAUACUGUUAGGCUAGAGUGUAGUAGCGGUAGGCGGAAUGUGUGGUGUAGCGGUGAAAUGCUUAGAGAUCAUGCAGAACACCGAUUGCGAAGGCAGCUUACCAAGCUACAUCUGACGUUGAGGCACGAAAGCGUGGGGAGCAAACAGGAUUAGAUACCCGGGUAGUC
rnacentral:rRNA from 1 species